GCCUGGGUGGCUCAGUCAGUUAAGCAUCUGACUUCGGUUCAGGUCAUAAUCUUGUGGUUUGUGGGUUCGAGCUCCACAUCAGGCU
rfam:Felis catus isolate Cinnamon breed Abyssinian chromosome X, whole genome shotgun sequence.